CCUCUUUUUAAUAACGUAAACUUUUAGUCUCUCUUCAUUUAGAGGAUUGUUCUUAUUCUUAUUAUUCUAACAAAACCAUCUUCAUCAAUCAAUAUGAGAGUGUGGUUUCAAAAAAUGUAAGAGUUUUUGAAAAAUGUUUUUGAAGAUUCUAACAACAAAACAUCUUCCAUUGGUUUCGCAAAAUGUAAAACUUUCUCGUUUGUCCAUGACCCGCCACAUGAAGGUCAUCCAUUCCUCCUCUUUCCAGCUCCAAGCUUCAUUGAGAUGGUUGAUUAAAGUUAGCUUAUUCGAUUGCCAUUUUUUUGGGUUUUACAUAUUGCAACUCUCCAGAUUGUUGAAGAUUGACAAUAUAUAUUUUUUUUGAAUACUUGGUUGAAAGUUAUUGUAGCAUUUUGUUUGUGUUUUGUGUAAUAUUUGGAAUUAAAUUAAAAUUUAAUAAAAAAAGGUUUGUGUUUUGUAGGUUGUUGAAUAUUGCUAAUAUUAUUUUUUUGAGAGAUGGUUGAAAGUUAUUGUAACAUUUAUAUCUUCAGUUUAUUUAUUUAUUUUUUUGUAAUGGUACCAUUUAAUGGCUGUAACGUUUUAAUUGAAGAGGAAUUACUUAAGAGGGCUA